UCAGAUCUGUUGUCUCCUUCUAUAGCCUGCUCUCAGAUCUGUUGUCUCCUUCUAUAGCCUGCCCUCAGAUGUUGUCUCCUUCUAUAGCCUGCUCUCAGAUCUGUUGUCUCCUUCUAUAGCCUACUCUCAGAUCUGUUGUUUCCUUCUAUAGCCUGCUCUCAGAUCUGUUGUCUCCUUCUAUAGCCUGCUCUCAGAUCUGUUGUCUCCUUCUAUAGCCUGCUCUCAGAUCUGUUGUCUCCUUCUAUAGCCUGCUCUCAGAUCUGUUGUCUCCUUCUAUAGCCUGCUCUCAGAUCUGUUGUCUCCUUCUAUAGCCUGCUCUCAGAUCUGUUGUCUCCUUCUAUAACCUGCUCUCAGAUCUGUUGUAAUCAAAGGGUCGUUCUACUAAUUCGGUGCCUUUUGAAAACGUUUUGACUUCACCUCAUCUCAACAUUCUGUCAUAAAGAGGACAUGUUGAACUUCAUUAAGUUUCCCCAUCGCAACAUUCUGUCAUAAAGAGGACAUGUUGAACUUCAUUAAGUUUCCCCAUCGCAACAUUCUAUCAUAAAGAGGACAUGUUGAACUUCAUUAAGUUUCCCCAUCGCAACAUUCUGUCAUAAAGAGGACAUGUUGAACUUCAUUAAGUUUCCCCAUCGCAACAGGUUAAAGACGGAAAUUACUAUAGCAAGUGCCAAAUAAUGUAACGGGGUUGACCGUAAUGGGGUUGACCGUAACGGGGUGGGGUUGACCCUAACCGGUGUUGACCCUAACCGGGGUUGACCGUGCCCGGGGUUGACCGUAACGGGGUGGGGUUGACCCUAAUCAGGGUUGACCGUAACCGGGGUUGACCGUAACCGGGGUUGACCGUAACGGGGUGGGGUUGACCCUAAUCGGGUUGACCGUAACGGGGUGGGUUGACCGUAACCGGGGUUGACCGUAACGGGGUGGGGUUGACCGUAACCGGGGUUGACCGUAACCGGGGUUGACCGUAACCGGGGUUGACCGUAACGGGGUUGACGAUGUCAUCUUAAAUCAGCCAUGAAUCCCCUUGUGACAGAGGGAAUGGAAGCUCGUUACUGUGCAACAGGCUUCCCAAAACAUUUUAACUGUUAAAACAUUUUUAGACUGUCUGUCUGUUGGUAACAGGGUUGACUUGUUGACGCUCGACCCGCUCAGUUUUACUCCACAAAACACCAGAAAAUGGCCAGAAAGAAUAGAACCAGCUCACCUGUUUUGACAUUAUGAUUUGACCACUAGAUGUUCAAUGUUUCUUUGGGAAUAAAUAUUUAAAAUGGGAAUAUUUUCACUGUGAUUUAAAAUGAGAGUUCAAAUCACUUACCAGGGUUGACCUUAAAACUGAGGGACUGGAUCACUAAUCACAAUAAAAUAACUAGGGCUUUACAAUGAUGGAGAAAUGUUGGGAUGAAGGGGGUUUAAUCUUCUUAGAAGUCGGAGAGGGUGCACGGAGGGACAUUUCAAAAUGCCGAAGUCUAUUUCUAUUAAAUCAGAUUUAUUGAAUUCUCCAUGUGGUCUAUAUUAAAUGGCACUAAAUUUAAUAUAACAGGCUUUUUAAAAUUCAAUAUUGGUGCUCAAUUUAUAUCUAAAAUAUCAAAGGGAACGUAAAAGGCCCUCAUUUUGUGGAAUGACCCAAAAACAGUGGAGACUCUUGGAUACACUCCUCUGGAAGUACCGCAUAAAUGUAACUGUCUGAAGCUUGUGCAGUGGGUCAUCUUUUAUGUGUCUCGAUCUGUCCAUCUUUGCGUUAUGGUCAUUGUAUAGCAGGAAAGAUAUGACUGUACAUUUCCAUUUAUGAUGUGUGUAAAUGUUUUCCAUACUCAAUAAAAUAAUCAAUGUUCUUCAAAGUUGUAA